GUUCGCUUCGCGUUUUGGCCAGGGCGGGGGUCUGGGCUUUAGGCAGGUAGUAUUUAGUUUCACAAUGUUUGGGGACCUGUUUGAAGAGGAGUAUUCCACUGUGUCUAAUAAUCAGUAUGGAAAAGGGAAGAAAUUAAAGACUAAAGCUUUGGAGCCACCUGCUCCUAGAGAAUUCACCAAUUUAAGCGGAAUCAGAAAUCAGGGUGGAACCUGUUACCUCAAUUCCCUUCUUCAGACUCUUCAUUUCACACCUGAAUUCAGAGAAGCUCUAUUUUCUCUUGGCCCAGAAGAGCUUGGUUUGUUUGAAGAUAAGGAUAAACCCGAUGCA
rnacentral:lncRNA from 1 species